rnacentral:rRNA from 1 species
UACAGAGGUCCCAAGCGUUGUUCGGAUUCAUUGGGCGUAAAGGGUGCGUAGGCGGCGCGGUAAGUCGGGUGUGAAAUCCCUCGGCCCAACCGAGGAACUGCGCCCGAGACUGCUUCUCUUGAGUCCCGGAGAGGAAGAUGGAAUUCCCGGUGUAGCGGUGAAAUGCGUAGAUAUCUGGAGGAACACCGGUGGCGAAGGCGGCAUCCUGGACCAACACGUGACGCUGAGUGAGCGAAAGCCAGGGGAGCAAACGGG